CUCGCAAGGACAAAGCGAUGAGCCAAAGGAAGGAUUGUCUCUGCGUUAGCUGGCUGGUUGGCUGACUGGUUGGAUAGCGAGGAGUGGCGCAGCAGCGGGAAAAUUAGGACAGCCGAUAUAUAGGUAGGAAAGGCUCGUUUCGUCGAGAGGGUGGAUGGCGUCGAGAGGAGGCUGCUGCGUCCCGGGAGCGCGGAUGCUGGGGACUCCCGAGUGAGCUGUUUGCAGUUCCUUCCACGAGCCUUCGGUUUGCAUUAGUUUGCAUACUGACAUCAACAUCAAAAGCAUUCUCAGACGAGUUUCGGACGAAUCGGUCGACCGUGCCAAACCAGCCACAGCAUUUCCGUGGUCGAGCGGGAUAACGAGUUAAAGUUCAGCAAGCUGUUUCUGGCCGUGUGAAGUAAGAGCUGAUUAGAAUGCGGAUGAGGUCGAUCGGUUGGUGGUGAGCCGCUCGCUUUACGAUCCCGUUCGCUCUAAACAAUACGAACGAUCCGUCCCAACGAGAAAGUUCGUGGAUGGAAUGAAAAAUGGUGGAAAAAACGUCAAACGACACAGGCGUACACGGAGAAGAAUGAUCGAUUGGUUCGAUUAACCGGUCGUAACGAAGUCCUGCUGCUUUUCCAGUUUCAGAGAUAAAAGGAGCA